AGCAUGUUGACGCAGCGGAAGCGUGCCAGGCUCAUAACCUGGAAGUCCCUCGAUCGAAACGAGGACAUGCUA